UUUAAAAAUAUAUAUACUCUGGAUUGGAUAGAGUUGUCUUUUUAUCUGAAUUCUAAAACAUUAAAACAUUUUCAUGGGCUUUAGGUCCCCUGUGCCUGAUUGAGAAUGAGUUCUAUUGUGGAAGGAAGAUAUUGAGAAGGUUGUGUGGGCAACAGGAAGUCAACUGACCCUGAUGUCUCUUCUCUUCCUCAUUUUCAGCAAAUGGCAUCAGAUCAUAAAUUAAAGCAGCAAGGAAAUAAAUGCAAAAAGAGCUGUUAGAAUAAACUCCAUAAAAGCCUGUUACAGGGGACUCUUCACCCUAAGGCACCAGAGAGCAGAUUUAGAAUAAAGAGAUAAUGCACCCAGGUUCAUCCUGAACCAAGCUCUGUCUCUGUCCAGCUUUGCCUCCCUGCCCAGGGAACGAGACUCUAGAGGAGUGAAGCAUUGUUUUCCUAAGAUGUCCUGAAAGAAUAAUGUAUCCAGCGCCCAAGAAAACCAAUUCCUAAGAAGAUUAUGGUCUUUCUGGAGAAGCCACUUGCACAAAGGUUCCAAAAGCCAAUGGGGUCAAGGUCUUCUUUAUAGCGGCGUCAUUAACAGGCGGACCACCACCCUCCAACUCUGGAAGGAAAAGUGAAGUUGUGAAAACACAAGGUUGAGAGUUUAAAGGUAGGAAGUUGGUCUUUUGCUGGGAAAGCAUCAAGAAGAUCUCAGUCUUCAAAGGCAGGGAGACCUGAAAUACCUGGGCUAGUUGUACUGAGUUCAGAUCGUGUUCCAGACCAACCAACCCUUCUUGAAAGUAAACCAGUUGACCUGCAUGACAUCAACUCAAGAUGAGGAUGGGAGGGGCUGUUGAUCAGCCAACAAUGGAAAGGACCACCACCAUGCCAGAGCCAGGUUGCCUUGAGCCAUUGCUUGCUGCCUUCCGGGAUCUGCGUUAUCAGAAACCUGUAACCAGAAGCAGGAACUGAGACUUGAACCCAGCUUCUGCCUCCUUCAGUGACUGAGACACGGCUUCAUGAAUUUUCAUUGAAAUAAUAAAUUAAUUAAUAAACAAAUCA
rnacentral:lncRNA from 1 species